GCGCGGCGGCGACACUCGAGAGUUCAUCUCCGCAGAAGGGCUCUCAGCGCGGGAGAGCGUGCCUGCCCGCCGCCAGCCUCCGAGUCGGGACGCCCGAGCGCGGCUGGGUCCUGGGCGUCUGCGCUCUUAAGUGCUUCUCGAUAGGAGCAGGAGUAGGGAGAGGAAAGGAGGAUCUCAUUUUCCACUGUCCUCGCAUAAAGUGGUUUCUCUGUUCACACUUUCCACUUGUACUACCCAGAGUAUGACUUAAUUCCUAACCGGCCUGUUUAGCAUGGAGUAGAUUGAGUGAGAAAUGCCGGCGGAAUCAGCAUUACAGCUGCUUCCCCGUACACCACAAGUGAUACUUUGCAAAAGGUGUGCUGUAGAGCAAACUCAACAGAUUUUCAUCUGGCACCCUGCAAUGCUCCCACCACUAUUUUGAGAACUAGAAGAGGUUUGAAAGUGUUUAGUAGUAAUUGAACUAGGCAACAAUUAGACCAUCUAUGACAGAUAUAAAGUGCCAAGAUCCAUAAUAUAGGUAAAUAAAGUGUGAGAACAGGAAGGGGAAAGACUAUGUGCACAAGUCUCCUUACUAAACCAAAUUGGAGAAAAAGACUGACAGAGGUGUUUUAAAAGUACACGAUAGCAUAACAGAUGUAGUCAUCAAUAAAACACAUUGUCUUUCUUCAGUGAAGUAUUUUUACAGGGAGAACAUUAUUUUGAGAAAGAUUUGGAAGUAAUUAUAUAUUAAUCAUUGACUAUGUUAUAGGCAUUCUGCUUAAGUAAUCUCUAAUCUUCAUACACACGCACACAACAUGUACACACACAAACCAAAAAGGAGAUAUUAUUUCUCUCUUUUUUCAAUGUGGUGAUUGAGCCAUUUAGUUAGAUAAUGGGUAAAAGCCAAGCAGAGCUCAGAUUCAAACUUGUUCUGGCUAAUUCCAAAGCCCAGACUCUUUCCACUACACCAAUGGCUUCAAACUAUUUUUUUCCUUAAUCACAUCCCACAAUAAUAAAUGUGUUCUAUAGUAUAUACACACAUGUAACUGAAACAAAAGACCCACAGUUUGAAAAACACUCAUUAUAUUGUCUCAUUAAAUAGCAUGAAAUGAUACAAAAUUAAAUAAACCUGAUACUGCAUAAUCACAAUAUCUGAACCACUGUUUAAAAUAUUUGAGUCCUUUAGCAGUGUUGGUAAACUUAGUUUCCCAAAUUGGUCAUUUCUGACAUGUCAGCUUAUAUGUGACUUCUAACUCAAAUUCUCAAUUCUCCUUUCCUCCUCAUGAUCCAUACAUAUUGUGUGGUGUGGAAAAUCUGAUGUAAUAAUUUUAAUACUUUAAGAUAACCCCUUUUCCAGAGAGAGAAAGGACUCUUCCCCAGGGGCAUAGUACUUUGUAAGAAUUGCUGUCAGAUAUUUUCUACCAGAUCCGAUAGUUCCAAUAGCUCUCUCCUUCCCUUCCCAAGUGUAAUUUAAUAACAUCCUUUCUGGAAAUCAUUGUAACAAUUUACAUCAGAAGCUUUAAAAAGUAUGUAUACAUUUAAUCUACCAAUUCCUCCUUUAGUAAGUCAUCCAAAAGAAGAGCGAAGAUUUAUGCACAAAGCUGUUUAUCACAGUGUUAUUUGUAAUUAUAAAUAAUCAGAAACCAUCUUGAGUAAACUAUAGUAUAGCCGUGUUAUAGAUGAUUACGUAGCUUUAAAAAUGUAAUGAUAGAGACAAACAUAUAUACCAUAACUAAGCAAAAACAGCAGGCAGCAAAAGUUGCUUGUACAAUAAAGAGCUCAGUUAUGAAAAAAACGAAAUGCAUAUAAGACAGUGGAAGGAAAUAUGCCAAAAUGUUGUUGGGAUUGCCUCUAGUAAGUAGGAAUUCAAAUAGUCUUUUUUUAACUUUUUUGUUAAAAUAUUUUGCAAUAAUCGUAUAUUACUCUGAUAAUCAGAAAAAAAAAAAUUGCAAAACUGCCUUAAAUCCUUUCUGGAGUUAAAUGUGGUACCCUUCCCCUAGGAUACUAGCACACUGCAACAUCAAAUGGAGAACUGUACAGAUAAGUAGCAUUCUCCAGGGCCAUCUGUUUGAAAUCUGGCCCUAGAAGAGAGUUGACAAGCCUCAAUCAUGCCACAGGCCUUCUAGUUGAAGAACACUUUUGGGAAAAGACUAAGGGUUAAAAGAUAGAAAGGAUUAAAAUGUGGGGAAGAGAAAGAAUUUAAAUGCGUAAUCCCCCCUUGGGUAUAAACUUAGAUGAUCCUUCAAGAUACAAACACUCUUUCUGUAGUUUCUCACUUAAAAAUUACGAUAAAUAGGGCAUUGCCAAAGCAAGAUUAUAAAAUCUUUGUUUUAUUUAAUAUCUACCUCCUUUCUCUUCACAAAAAGAUUAAACAUUCAGGACCUUCAUCUGCUCUCAGUUAUACUUUGGUAAAAACUCAUACGCACUGGAUUAUCUCUCAAGCUAUUUACAUUUUCUGCUUUCUCUAAUUGCGGGAUACAUUUAAUUUAAAUUCAGAAAUUUUGAGACAAUAGAAAUCGGAACAUUUUUUGAAGAGAGAGGAGACUUCUUCUUGCCCUGAAAUCAGUGUGUAUAAGACAGGCUCAGAUGACUAACCUGCUUUUUAUCACUUGAAUAUCUGGGAGAUUACUCAGAAGGAACUUUAUUUCUUCUGUUUCUCUGCCCCCUCACCUCCACUUAGACAUGUCCCUGUAAAAGGUUAACACCAGCUGCAGCUACUACAGGCCCAUUGUCCCUAGGAACUUGAAAGUCAAACAGUCUCUCACAAAUCUAAAACCAAACUCUUGAUUUCCUCUCCUAAACUUAAUCCCCAUCUCAGUUUUCCUCAUCCCAGUAAAUGGCACCUUCAUUCAAUUAGUUGCCUCAGCCAAAACCCAAAGACUUUGGGUUAAAGCUAAACACCCCAUAUUCAAUCCAUUAGCAGUUCUUAUCAGCUCUAUUUUCAAAGCAUUUCCUGAAUCUGAAUCUUCUCAAAUUCUCUACCACUGUUACUCUAUUUGGUCUCUUGCUUCCAUCCUUGCCUCCUUAUAGUGUAUACUUUAUUCAGCAGCAAGUUGUAUCCUAUUAGAAUAUAAAUCUGAUUCUUUCACUCUUUUGUUCAAAAUCUUCAAGUGGCUUCCCAACACAUUUAGAAUAAAAUCCAAAGCUCUGCUUGGUCCCUGGAUAUUCUUAAACCACAUCUCCCACUCCUCUUUUCCUCAUUCAGUCUGCUCCAUCUAAGUGGACACCUUAUUUUCCUCAAACAUGACAAGCACACUUCCACCUCAAGGCUGUUUAUUCUGCCAGAAUGUUUUUUCUUCAGAUAUGUUCACAUCUUGUUUCUUAACUUCAUUUGUGGAUCUUUACUCAAAUAAUACCACCUGAGAAAGAUCUUCCCUGACCACCCAAACUAAAAUAACAGCCCUAACCCACCAUCACCCUUCAUCAUUUUCUUCUUUUUCUCUACUGCCUGAAGGAUAUCUUCAUCAUUUUCUGUCCCUUUACUUUUUCUUCAUAGCAUUUAUCACUAUUUGCCACUGUAUUAUGUAUUUGUUAAUUGUCUGUUGUCUCUAUAAAAUCCAGGACGGUAGGUUCUUUGUUUUGUUCUCAGCUUCGUUUUCAUCUGGUAUCUAGAUCAAUGCCUGACAUAUAUAAAUGAAUUGAUGUCUAAAAUCAUAAGCUACCAGGUUCAAAAAAAAAGCAUCACAGUUUCUUGUUACUGCAACCCACAGGCCUGAAGCCCACCCUGACUGAGUACAAAAGAAAGUAUACAAAGUCAUAAGGAGUUCUAGAUCCUAGGCAUUUGGGAAUCUUAGUCCAGACAAAUGAAAGGAAUAGGAAAGUCUUUCUUGUAUCAUAUGCCCUUGGAAGUCUUUUCCUCCCACCUCAGCCACUUGACCCAUGGCUUAGAUCACCACCAUUUUCUUCCUCUGAAGCCAUUACCUAUAGGGAAAAUAAACCCCAAUUCAUGACAGGAGCCUCUUAUUUUAAGCUGUUUAGUACCCAGGAUACUAGAAGAAUGGGAGCAGAAAGAAGCGGUCAGCUACUUAGUAGGAAAGAUAAGACUGGCAAGAGAAAACUACAUGUUUAGGAAACAGGGAAUUUUAGGCAAAAAUAAGAUGUACAGGAUAGGAUCCAGUUUAUUGAGAAGUUCAAUCUAGGACAUUUAAAGGGAGGUUGUAUAGGGUAGUUAGUUGAGGGCACAGGCUUUAAAGUUAGACAGUUUGAGUUUAGUAGAGUUCCAGCUCCACUACUAGCUGUUUAAUCUUAAGCAAUUUAGCCUUUUUAACCCUCAGUUUCCUCAUCACAAAUGGAAAUAGAAAUAAUUAUCUCACAGGGUACUUUGGGCAUUACAUGUUAUUGUGUUUAUAAAAUACUUAUCACAAUGCAUGGCACAUAGUGAGUCUUAAAUGAAAAGAGGGUGUUAUUAAGUGUCUGAGGCGAAGGAAGACUAUUGACACUAAUGGCAACCCUAAAUUCUUCAGAAAUAACAAUAAUUUCUUGUGUGACUGGCUGAUAUUUUAUACCCAAUUAUGAUGCAAGACAGUAGUGAUUAUGCACACCAUUUAAUGUGCUCAAAAUUAAUUUUGUUUCAUGUGGUUAAAACAAAAUUCACAAAAGAUGUAAAAGACAAAAGAAGGCAAUGUAGUGUACUGGGUUAUGCCCAUGAGUUGGAGUCAGUCAGAUCUGAGUUUGAAUCUCGGCUCUGCCAUUUUCUUAUUGCGUGACUUAAACAGGCUGUUUAACCUCUCUGGCUUCAGUUUCUUGUCACAUAGGCAUGACAACACAGUACAGUAUUUUCCAUAAAUGGGCCAUCAGUCUGUUAUUUUUGUCCUAAGAGGGUGUAAGGAGUGGAGAAGCUGAGACUGGAAAGAUAAACUGGGGCAAGAUUGCAAAGCCCAUUAUAACCACACUAAAUUGAGUGCGGAUAUUUUUAAGUGAAAGCUACUGCUUUUUUUUAAAGCAUUUAAAUGAUAUAAUCAAAUAUUUGCUUUGAAAAGAAAACUGUAUGGCUAUGUUGGAGCAAUGCAGCUGUGAGGCUGAGGGAAAGAUGUGGAGAAGGUAAGAAAGUGGGAUGAGACUUGAGGCGUGAAGCUCAGCUGAACAAAUAUUAAAACAGUUGAUAGAAGAUGAAGUGGGCCUAAUUAUUCAAAUAUUGAAUAGAUUUAAAUAAUUGACUGAUACACUCUAUAAUUAUACUUAUCUAUGUUUUCCUCCCUGUAUUGAGCAGUAAAAUAGAUAAUACACAUUCUAAAAACUUGAAAGCAGAGGGAAUUUAUAACGACUUUCAUUUGGUCAUGAAAGACUGUUGAGAUUGAAAUUCACUUCAGGACGUAUAAGCAAUGGGAAAAUAGUGAACUUGAACUAGAAGGAAAGGAUUUUCAAUAGCAUAAGAUGUCAAAUAGAAGAGGCUUUUUAAUUUCUUUAUGCUGGGUACAUGAUAGUUCUUUACUCUCAGCCAUUCUCACAUUCCAAAUCACUAGCACUAACUGUGUCUUCUAAGACAGCUCUCUCAUCAAACUAUUUUAGCCACUUCUUUGGCUCAAUAUGUAAUUCUACUAUAUUGCAGACACUUAAACGUUUGUCAAUGUUGUACAAAGAUAGCUUCCUAAUAUUAUUAGAGAUCCUCCGAUAGGAAUGCUUACCUCCCUACUUCCAGCCUUAAACGAAUAAGUAUUUUCUGGAGCUGGCUCAUUGCUAAUAAAGAGUAGAUUCGAAUCCUAGCACUGUCAUUUACUAAAGAGGUGAUCUUCGGCUGGGCGCGGUGGCUUAUGCCUGUAAUCCCAGUGCUUUGGGAGGCCGAGGUGGGCAGAUCACCUGAGGUCAGGAGUUCGAGACCAGCCUGGCCAACAUGGUGAAACCCCAUCUCUACAAAAAAUACAAAAAUUACCCAGGCCUGGUGGCACUUGCCUGUAAUCCCAGCUACCCAGGAGGCUGAGGCAGGAGAAUCACUUGAACUCAGGAGGCGGAGGUUGCAGUGAGUCGAGAUCACUCCACUGCACUCCAGCCUAGGCAACAGAGUGAGACUUCAUCUCAAAAAAAAAAAAAAAAAAAGUGGGGGCUGAUCUUAAAAUUUUUGCUCAAUCUCUCUGUGUCUUAGUUCUUUUCCCCACAUUAGGCAUAAUAAUACCGACAUAAUAGGAUGAGAGUUAAAUUAAAGGAGAUAAACUAGUAUCCUCUACAGAGCUGGCUCUUACCAAGUGCUCAACAUUGGUGUGUUUGCAUUGCUUGUAAUAAGGGUAGAGCCUAUCUAACCUGCUUUUAUGUACACAAAUAAUGUGUUAUAUGUGUUCCAAAUAAACACUUGGGAAUAAUGAAAAUUGCUACCUGGCUGGACGGGGAAAA
rnacentral:lncRNA from 10 species